ACCAAACUUUGUGAUGAUUAAAAAUUAGCGUAGGUUAAACUUAUAGUAUGGUAACAAUUGUGUAAAAAGAAGAAAUAGAACAAAUAAAUCUUUAUAACCCAGCAAGAAACAUUAAACUAUACUAGAAAUAGUAAUUUAAUUAAGCCUAUUUAACUGGACUAAAUAGGUGCCAGCAGUCGCGGUCAGACCUGACAGUUAAGUUAAUUUUAUUAGGUAAGCUAAAGGAGAAAACUUUUGUAAAUAGGUGAAAUUAUUAUAAAAAGUAAUUCUAAUAUCCUAAAUUUUUGCUCAAGCUCUGAAGAUAAACUAGGAUUAGAUACCCUACUAUAUAGAGUGUAAAAUUUUAAACCUAAGCACUAAGACUAAAAAGGUUAAAACUUAAAUUACAUGCGGCAGUUAGAAAUUUCAGGGGAACUUGCCAGGUAAAUGAUAAUCCUCAAAAAACACUACUUUUAUCCGAAGUUUGUAUAUCGCCGUCUUCAGCACUCAUUUAAAAUGAGUUCGAAAUGUUAAAAAACAAGAAGACAGGUUAGAUGCAACCAAUAUAAAAGUCUAGGUGAGUUACAAUAAUAAUUAAAUUUGAAUUUAUUUUGAAACAAAAUAAUGAAAUUGGACUUGAAAGUAAUAAUUAUAAAAAACAUAUACUGAAUCUUUAAUCUAACUGUGUACAAAUCGCCCGUCGCUUUCAUUGAAAAAUGAAAUAAGUCGUAACACAGUAGGUGUACCGGAAGGUGCACCCU
rnacentral:ncRNA from 1 species